GUUCCUCAUCGCAAGAGGAUUAAGAGGCAAAGAGUCCGGUUCAUCUAGCGGACAAGCCGAGGGGAAAUCACGAGGAAAAGGCGCGCUCUAAAGUUUUUCAGGUACUCAAGUGAAGGAUGAUGAUCAAGCAAUCGAUUCGGACCGAAC